rnacentral:rRNA from 1 species
GAUGAACGCUCGCGGCGCGCUUAACACAUGCAAGUCGAACGGACAGGCCCAGCUAUUGGGGGGUGCCCGAGUGGCGAACGGGCGAGUAACCCGUGAGUCACCUGCACUUGCCCAAGUGAUAACUUCCGGACAAUCGGGCGAAUACCGGUCAGGAGCCCCCGAUGCAUGGGGGGGGUGGGAAAUAGCCGGCGGUUGGGGAUGGACUCGCGGCUCAUCAGCUUGUGUGUGGGGUAGUGGCUUACCAAGGCUUUGUUGGGUAGCCGGCCUGAGAGGGUGACCUGCCCCAUUGGGACUGUGGUACGGCCCAGACUCCUACGGGAGGCAGCACUUGCGAAUACUGCACAAUGCGCGGCAGCCUGACGCUGCACCGCCGCGUGCGGGAUGGCCGCCUUCGCGUUGUCACCCUCUUUCGCCUGUGACGAAGCGUGGGUGACGGUAAUGGGUCAAGAAGCUCGCGCUGAUUUGUUG